UACGGAGGAUGCGAGCGUUAUCCGGAUUUAUUGGGUUUAAAGGGUGCGUAGGCGGCCUGCCAAGUCAGCGGUAAAAUUGCGGGGCUCAACCCCGUACAGCCGUUGAAACUGCCGGGCUCGAGUGGGCGAGAAGUAUGCGGAAUGCGUGGUGUAGCGGUGAAAUGCAUAGAUAUCACGCAGAACCCCGAUUGCGAAGGCAGCAUACCGGCGCCCUACUGGCGCUGAGGCACGAAAGUGCGGGGAUCAAACAGG
rnacentral:rRNA from 1 species